rnacentral:misc_RNA from 1 species
AUUAUUAAAAAAUUAACUAAUAAUGUAAUAUGCAAAGAAAAUACAAUCUCUAUCUAAAAUUUAAACCUUUAAGAAAUCAUUAAACAUCCAAAAGUGUAUAGCAUUUCAAAUUCAUAGUCAUAACAUAGAAAUCUUCACUAGAUUUUCCAUCAAAGUACUCAACUUUCAUCCUCAUCUCAAAAAUAAGAUCUAUUUCCAUCAAUAUUUUCAUCUAUAUUAAUUUCAACAUUUUUCAAUGUUGACCUUGAAGUUGAGGCUCUU